rnacentral:misc_RNA from 1 species
UCCGGUUUGACACCGGCAGUCUCCCUAGAGUUCCCGGCAUGACCCGCUGGUAACUAGGGACAAGGGUUGCGCUCGUUGCGGGACUUAACCCAACAUCUCACGACACGAGCUGACGACAGCCAUGCAGCACCUGUGCACGGACUCCGAAGAGGGGCCGAUGUUUCCACCGGCUUUCCCGUGCAUGUCAAGCCCAGGUAAGGUGGGGAUGACGUGUAACCGAAUCU